AGAACACCGAGUGCUCCACAGACGCAGGGAAAGUUGGUGAGAGGUGCAACGGGAAACAGUGGUGUAAAGUCAAAGCCAGGAACUAUGUGUUGGGAGAUCCCUGCUAUGGGACCUACAAGUACCUGGAGGUGGAAUAUAUUUGUUACGAUGUUCCCCAGUUGUG